rnacentral:misc_RNA from 1 species
ACCCUUGACCACGGUAUAGUCAGCGACUGGGGUGAAGUCGUAACAAGGUAGCCGUAGGGGAACCUGCGGCUGGAUUACCUCCUUUCUAAGGAUGAAUGAAAGUAAAAUUUCAUUCUAAAUAAUAUACAUCGGUAAUGUUGACCGUCCUCAUUUCUCUUCUUAAAGUAAUGUUUCCUUCUUGUAGGGCCGGUAGCUCAGUUGGUUAGAGCACACCCUUGAUAAGGGUGGGGUCGAAAGUUCGAGUCUUUCUCGGCCCACCACACUUAACUGGGGGAUUAGCUCAGCUGGGAGAGCGCCUGAUUUGCAUUCAGGAGGUCAGCGGUUCGAUCCCGCUAUCCUCCACCAGGAAACAUUUAGUUAUAAAAAUUGUAAAUAAAUUUAAUAAUUAAUAUCGAUAUCUAUAUCCGAACAUUAGUAAUGUUAUUAGCUAAUGUUCAAAAUAAAAAUUUGAUCACAACAUAGAUGAUUUUUCUUUUAAAAAGAAUUUUUUUCUGUGCAUAAAUCAAGCGUUUAAGGGCGUGUAGUAGAUGCCUUGGCACUGAAAGCCGAUGAAGGACGUGAUAUACUGCGAUAAGUUUCGGGGAGCUGUAUGUAAGUUUUGAUCCGAAAAUUU